AACACUGUUAACCUGCGGUACCUGCGGAAGGAUCAUUACAAGUGACCCCGGUUUACCACCGGGAUGUUCAUAACCCUUUGUUGUCCGACUCUGUUGCCUCCGGGGCGACCCUGCCUUCGGGCGGGGGCUCCGGGUGGACACUUCAAACUCUUGCGUAACUUUGCAGUCUGAGUAAACUUAAUUAAUAAAUUAAAACUUUUAACAACGGAUCU
rnacentral:misc_RNA from 1 species